rnacentral:rRNA from 1 species
GACGAACGCUGGCGGCGUGCCUAAUACAUGCAAGUAGAACGCACAGUUUAUACCGUAGCUUGCUACACCAUAGACUGUGAGUUGCGAACGGGCGAGUAACGCGUAGGUAACCUGCCUGGUAGCGGGGGAUAACUAUUGGAAACGAUAGCUAAUACCGCAUAAUAUUAAUUAUUGCAUGAUAAUUAAUUGAAAGGUGCAAUUGCACCACUACCAGAUGGACCUGCGUUGUAUUAGCUAGUAGGUGAGGUAACGGCUCACCUAGGCGACGAUACAUAGCCGACCUGAGAGGGUGAUCGGCCACACUGGGACUGAGACACGGCCCAGACUCCUACGGGAGGCAGCAGUAGGGAAUCUUCGGCAAUGGACGAAAGUCUGACCGAGCAACGCCGCGUGAGUGAAGAAGGGUUUCGGAUCGUAAAGCUCUGUUGUAAGAGAAGAACGGGUGUGAGAGUGGAAAGUUCACACUGUGACGGUAUCUUACCAGAAAGGGACGGCUAACUACGUG